AUACGGAGGGUGCAAGCGUUAUUCGGAAUCACUGGGCGUAAAGGACGCGUAGGCGGGUUGGCAAGUCAGAUGUGAAAUCCUACAGCUUAACUGUAGAACUGCAUUUGAAACUGCUAACCUAGAGUAUGGGAGGGGGAGAUGGAAUUAGUGGUGUAGGGGUAAAAUCCGUAGAUAUCACUAGGAAUACCGAAAGCGAAGGCGAUCUCCUGGAACAUAACUGACGCUAAGGCGUGAAAGCGUGGGGAGCAUACAGGAUUAGAAACCCUAGUAGUCC
rnacentral:rRNA from 1 species